GCGCCGCUGAUUUCAUUGCUUCUCUCACGGCGGGAAGCCCUAGAGACAUUGAGUGCUUUCCAACAAGAAGAAUUUGUUGUUACACAAUGUGACACAAAGAGACACUGUAAGAGGCACUGUGGGUGCUUUCCAACACAUACACAGACGACACCGUGUAACACAAUGUCUACACUGGUGCUUUCCAUCUAUGACACAGAGAGACACAGAACGACACUGCAAAACACAGUUCGAUCCUAAGUUUGGCCGUGUCAGACGUCAAUGGGUGCUUUCCAAUAAGGAGAGUUUGGUGUGACACAGAGAGACAUUGUACAAAGCGCUUUAUUUUAUAUUUGUGAAAUAACUAUGAUCUUUUCGAUUUGACAUUACAUGGAAUCUCAUUCAUUUCAGGAAAACUUCUUUUCUUUUGAAACAAGUAUGAUGCUUAACAUCAUCUAAUGUAGAAAUAAUUCCUUUACAAUGCUGACAAAAGAACAUAUCUGCAAUAAAAAUUAAUCCAAUAGAAUUUGUAACUAAUAAUGGGUCAUCAACAAAUACGUAAUGUUUUUAAGCUUAUAUAAUUCUUUAAAUAAAAUAAACUGAAUAUUGAUUACCUAAGAA